rnacentral:rRNA from 1 species
CUGAUCUCAAAUCAUGGUAGGGACUACCCCGCUGAACU